rnacentral:rRNA from 1 species
AUUGAACGCUGGCGGAAUGCUUUACACAUGCAAGUCGAGCGGCAGCGCGGGGGCAACCCUGGCGGCGAGCGGCGAACGGGUGAGUAACAUAUCGGAACGUACCCCGUCGUGGGGGAUAACACAGCGAAAGCUGUGCUAAUACCGCAUACGACCUGAGGGUGAAAGCGGGGGAUCGCAAGACCUCGCGCGAUGGGAGCGGCCGAUAUCGGAUUAGCUUGUUGGCGGGUAAGGCCCACCAAGGCGAUGAUCGGUAGCUGGUCUGAGAGGACGAUCAGCCACACUGGGACUGAGACACGGCCCAGACUCCUACGGGAGGCAGCAGUGGGGAAUAUUGGACAAUGGGCGCAAGCCUGAUCCAGCAAUGCUGCGUGGGUGAAGACGGCCUGCGGGUUGUAAAGCCCUUUAGGCGGGGAGGAACGGCGUCGUGCGAACAGUGCGGCGUUCUGACGUUACCCGCGGAAUAAGCACCGGCUAACUCCGUGCCAGCAGCCGCGGUAAU